ACGCUCGACACCUACGGGUGGCAGCAGUAGGGAAUCUUCCACAAUGGGCGCAAGCCUGAUGGAGCAACACCGCGUGAGUGAAGAAGGGUUUCGGCUCGUAAAGCUCUGUUGUUGGAGAAGAACGUGCGUGAGAGUAACUGUUCACGCAGUGACGGUAUCCAACCAGAAAGUCACGGCUAACUACGUGCAGCAGCCGCGGUAAUCUGAGCGGGCUGGCAAGGC
rnacentral:rRNA from 1 species